AGGCUGUUGGAAGUUCCAUCAUCUUGUAGCUGCUCCCAGUGGCAAAGAGCAACCAAAGAACUACAUUGAUGUACAAAGGGGACUCCUGCAUUUUCCCUGUUCCCUGAAGAGAUUAAGAACUUCUGAGUGGAGACAAACGGGAAAAAAUAUUGUUUGUGGAACCUUGCCUAGGCUUGAUGAGAAGGAGGAAAGAGCUCUUACAGCUAAAACUAAUCAGUAACUGUGGUUUCUCCAAACAUGGAAGAAUUUUCCAUCAACAGUCACAAUGGGGAGUGUCUAGUUGGACCAUCAUGGAAGAUGGAUGGGCCUCAAGAAGGUUAGCAGGAUUAAAUGAAGCAAAAAGGAUGGAGCCCUAAUUCAAUAGGAAUGAUGUGAUUAUAAGAAGAGAAAGAGACACCAAAGCACAGAGGCAAGAUGGUGUGAGGACACAAUGGGAAGGUGGCAUCUGCAACUAAGGAGAGAAGCUUCUGGAUAAACCAAAUUUGCUGACCUCUUAACCUUGGACAUCCAGUCUCUAGAACAGUGAAAAAAUUAAUUUCUGUGGUUUAAACUACAUAGUCUUUGCAACUUUGUUAUGGCAGCCCUGGCAGACUAUCAGAAAUGCAUUAAGAUGUUCACAAAAAGAAAUGUACAAAAUGUUCUUAGCAACAUUCUUGUAUUUGGUUAUUCUGAGAAUAACCAAAGCCUAAAAACAGUCCAGAUGUCCAUCAAGUGUAAUUUGUAUAAAUUAUGUUUAUUUAUUCCAAACAAUGUAAUUUGGCAAUGAAAACUAACAGAUUACAGCUAGACACAGCAACAGGAAUAAAUCACAAACAUAAUGUUGAGCCAAAGAACUAAGUACAGAUGAGUACGUCUUGAAUGAUUCUAUUCAUAUAAAGUUAUGAUGAAUCAGUCAAAAUGAAUCUGCUGUGUUAGAAAUCAGGAAUCAGGAGACUGGUUACCCUUGGGGGUCAGUAACAAAAAGGGAGUGAAAAGGGGCUUUCUGAGAUGUUGCUAAUAUCCUGAUCCUCAAUUUCAGUGAAUGCUGGUUACAUGCAUAUGUGUCUUUUGUGAAAAGCCACAGCACCAUCACUUAUGCAGCUUUUUGUGUGUAUAUUAUACUUCAAUAACAACAAGCAAGUGAUAGAUCUGGGACUCAAACCCAGGCUUUGAGGCUCCAAAUCUCUUGUCCUCUCAUUAUAUUGUUUAAAUGGUUUUAUAUUCCAAUUAUAUCAGAUAGUUUUA
rnacentral:lncRNA from 1 species